AGCGAUGGAGAACAGCUCGACAGGUGAAUAUGUUUUCCAAACGUAACUAGAAAUCACUUUCUUUUUCUUCAGAAAAACAGCCCAAAAGCAUGAAGAGUCGCUUCUUUUCAUUCUUCAGAAACGCUCUGGAUGUGAAACGUCGAGGCAAUAAAGAAGCCGAUCUACAGCCUCCGUUGGACACAGAUUCAGCGGAUCCACAGCCGGGUCCAUCUCUCAAUGAUCCAAUGGAUUUUCUGGAUCUGACUGAUCUUCUUCCGUCAUUUCCAGAAUCUCCAGGUGCUGCUUCAAAGGAAAGAGAAGAUCCAUCCUGGUUAAGAGCCGUCUCUUGCCCGGGACCAUCUCCCCGUGAGUAUUUGACCUUUUCUUGCUCUUCCACUGAGUGUUUCACACCAGAGUCUAGUUUGUCUAGUAAGUCUGUGUAUUUAAACACACGCAGUAUUGUCUGAUCCUUCAUCUGCCAUUCCCAAAGUAACGUGAUGAUGAAUGUAGUACUUUUGAUCCACAGUGUUGGGGAAGCUACUCUGAAAAUGUAGUUUGACAAGCUACAAGCUACUCAUAUAUUAAAGUAGUUAAACUACAUUCAAGCUACCCUUUUGAAAAAGUAGUUAGCUAUACUACAAGUUACUAUCAAAAAGUAGCUAGCUACAUUGAAACUACUUUUAAUUUUUUUUUUUUUUUUUUUUUUUAAUGACAGCUUAUUACAAAUAACUGGAUAAUUGUUAAUGAACAAUGUUUAAGUAAUAUGUUUGGGGUUUAAAACAAAGCAAUGCACUACAAUUACAAUUUCAAAGCGUACUGUUUUAUUUUGUAAAUAUAUCAUUGUAAUAUAUCAAAAGAUACAAUAGGCCUCCUCAAAUGUAGCCUAUAUCUCACACUGACUCUCUUUGCAUGCUUUAUAUAUAAUACAUUCAGAAUUUUAAUAUAAGUUUUGUUUUUCAUGCUAUGAGAGGACUGACCACCAAUUGCACUCUGCAGUUUCAGAAGUGAUUUCUACAUAUAAAUGCAGGAUUCAUGCUCAAAAUUGCUACCAUAACCAUAACACGGGACAAAAAUAUGUAAUAAUAAGAAUAAUAAUAAGCAAUGUAAAUGCAGACUAGAAAAAUAUUAUAAUUUUUGUAUCAAUAUUUUUUUAAUUCUAUUCCAAUUAUUUGUAAAAUGACUUAAAAUCUUAAAUGUCUCACUGUACAUUGCUAAUCCUGUUAUGGUGGAGCCGUUGUUUACACAUUACAUCUGCACUUUACUAUAGCACCCUCACUUAUUUAAGAAGCACCCUCGAUGAUUUGAUUCUGGAACCGGACAUGCACUUAAACCGAACAGGGUGUUGUGGCGAAUUUCGACCCCCUGCCAAAUUAAUACCACCCUCGUUGAAGUCGCCGGAACUUAAAUUGGAUACACAGAAAAAUGCAGGAUAAACUCAUAAGUGCACUAAACUAUAUCGCGAUUUUGUUUUCUGUUCAAUUGACGGAUGCUUUGCCAAUAUUAUGACGCAAAACACCGCGUUAGUGAAUUAGGUUCAUUAUAAAACUGGCGGGACAGAUUAGACUAGGCUGGUCAGCACUGUAAUAAAAUAGUUUGCAUACAUUUGAUAUAGACUGCAAUAAAGCAGAUCAAUCAAUUUAAAAAGGCUAUUAUUCACCUGUAUGUGCUUGAAGUCUACGACAAAGACAGCGUUUUAAUCAUUUGUUUAUAAAUUAAGCGUAACCUUUACUAAUCAAUUCAUGCAGUGUGAACCCACUCCUGUCCUUUACAUAAUCAGAAGAUCUCUUCUCGAUAAACUGUAAAGCCGCAAGAUGCGUGAUAUAACAAUAGAUGGCGGUAACAGGCUUGUAGCUUGAUGUACUAGGUGGUGUUUGCAGCCAAGCACUGUCUUGAUGGAGGUGUCUUCACCGUGACAUCAAGCUCGACAACUACGUGAUCAACAUGGCGACGAACCGUCAAACUGAUGGUGAAGUCGCCGAAAGUGGCAAUACGGGCAGUUCAUUGGAUUCGCCUGCCCUCCUGAAUAUUUUGCGGAUUUUGAAUAUGAGGCCAAGCCAACCACCGUCUGGUCUCUGGGGAUUAUGAUGCACAGAACGGUGUGCAGCUGUAACCCCCUGAGAAAGGAAGAUGGCCGCCUGAGUUUUGACUCCAGAGUCUCCGCAGAAUUUCAGGAGUUGAUCACAUGGUGCCUGGCUCUCAAUCCAGCGGAGAGAGCGACCAUGGAGGACAUCCUGCAGCAUGAAUGGUUUCGGCAGGAACGAAUGUCCGGAGCCAUUUAGGAGUCAGGUAGAAUGACAUCAGAGGUAAGGCAGAUGAUGACAGAAACUGUCCAAGCAGUGAUGUCAUGUGCUUCAACUUUUCCUCACAUUUAUCCAUUCAGCAGAUUCUCUAUGUCAGCCGGAGUGAGGAAAGAGCAGAGAGUCAGGGUCCUUCAGCUUAGUUUAAGGGCCCUGACACACCAAGGAGACGCUCGGCCAAAGUUGGGUCGCCGUUGAGCGUCGCUCAGUUUAGUUUUUGUGGUGCGAUCCGGACAUCUUUUUAUUUGGUUGAAUAAGUUUAUUGCUGCUUUAAUAAUGCAAGUUUGGCAUGAUGGUGUCUUGUAUUAAUUAUGGCAUUUGAGUUAAGCACGAUCCAUGUGAAACGUUAGUGAAUAACGUUACCACAUCUUUCUGAAGACAAAGAACAAUUUGCACUGGUUUAAAAAUUAACCAAUGUGAAAACUUCCAAACAUAAAUGAUCAGGAUGUGCGUGUGUGCCAGUCUCAGGCUAAGAGUGGCGCCAAGUGUUCAUCGCCCGCAAUGACGUUUAAAACUUCCCAUUUCAAAGCAUUUCUUUAACAAAAGGUAAUAUAUUUAACAACUUGUGAUAACAUAAUAUUUAUUUCAUAAAGAACAACACUGUGAGAAUCAUAAAUUAAGUCAAAAUGAACAUUUUCGCUGCUCUAGUUGUCUCCCCACCCAAGCUGCAGUCGGACGUGUAUCUUUACAGGUUUUUGAAGAGAAAAUACAUGUUUGUAGUGCGAAGUCUGAUGUUUGAGAAAAUAUGAGGGGUCAACAACUUUAUCAGUUCUUUCACUGUUUAGCACAUUUUUACUGAACUGUACCGUAAAUGUGUCCAAUGGUGUGACAGCAAAAAUUAAUAUUCAAUAAUAUACAAAUAGCAUGAGAGAUUUAUCUUCAUUGUUAGACACUUAUUUUCAUAUGGUGCUAUUAUUUAUUAUGAAAUUAGGAAAAACAUUAUUUUCCCCCCACGACUUGUUGGACAUUUUCAAUAAAUACGAGACAAACUUUGCCGUCAUCUUUUCAAAACUGUGAAAAUCAUACCAUUUUAGGACGAGUGAUUAAAUCUCCUCUACUGCAAUACUCAACUGUUGUUUUUAAGAUAUCUUGAGAUGAAGACAAAUCUGCAGUUCUUUUAAGUGUGUCACACCAUAGGACAUCGGUACACUAAAGGACAGAAAUGGUAGUUAUUUAAUUAAAGAGAGUGAGGGGUAUUACAUGAAAUUAUUUUUAUUUAACCUUGAAUGUCAAAGAAGAAAGAACAUUUAAUUUUGAUACAAACAAUAUCACCAAUUUUGUUUAUUUAAAAAAAAAACAACAGUGACUCUUUGACAGAGCAAAUAUCUUAAUUACAUUAAGAUUAAUUAUAUUAAAACAAGAUUUUUGGAGCGUUAGUUAAAGAAGAAAUAACAUUUCAUUUUGUUACAUCAUCAACCAUGUUUUUAAAAAUCACAUUUUGUAAGUAUAUAGCUGCUCUUUUCAUGGCAUCAUUUUGAUUUUUACUUUGCGUCGUUCUCUAGGAUCUCCUCUCUUCCAUGUUCCCUGUUCGUUUUCUCCCUAUACUUCCUCCCUCCCAGUCAUUUCUCCCCCUCAAUUCUUUCUCUCAAAAACAAAGUAGUAUCACAUUUUAUGCUUAUUUUCAUGACACUUUAUAACAGUACAAAUUUUCUGCAAAUCAUAAGAAAAAAAAUUGUAUUCAAUGUAACUAUUGCAUUUAAUAAAAAGCUGUUGAACAAUCUUAUUUAAUCUUACUUAACUUUUUAAAGAGACCUUGUCCUCUGGUGUGACAGAAAAGGUGAUAUUAUCUGUCACUCCACACGAUGUUUCAGCCUCUUGAGUCAGUUCAUGACUUUGCUAUUCGUAGCUAACCUGUCAUUAGCACUUAGCAAGACACAUUUGCUUAAUUUUCCAUGAUUAUGUAGUUUAACAUACAUUUUUUAUUAACAAAAUAUAAUUUAGGGGUGUCACACUAAAGGACAACAAAACCUAACCCUUUUACAGUGCUUCCAAAAAAGUUAUUUGUACAAUUCUGAGACAAAAGCGAACCAUGUGCUUCAGUAACAUGAUCUUGAAUUGGGUCCCUUAAAUAAUUAAAUUUGUCUGUGAAAUUGCCCUAUUUAAUAUCAGGAUAUGGCGUCACACCAGAGGACAUCGUUUUCUGUGACAACAUGUAACAAGAUUGUACGCUUUUAUUGCCAUUUACUAAAAUAGACACUUGUAAAAAUAUGCCUGAGGUAUUUAUUAACAUUUUUAUGCUUUUCUUUUUAAUUUCUAAAAGUUGUAAUUUAUUGAGCCAUGCUUGAGACAGUCACAACAUAGGACAAUUUUGAGAUUUGGCUUCUCUAAUAAUGAAAGCAGUUUUUUUCAACAACAGGUCCAUGUAAAACAAAGAAAUGCUUAACCAUUUACUGCAUUUUAAAUUAUGUCAAUACUAAUUAUAUUAUUUUUGUCAUGUAUGACAGUGAAAAUGCCACAUCACGUCAACAACCCUAUUAUCUUUUAAAAUAAUAUCUUAAAAUAUUUUAAAAAUGAUCAAGUCUGAACAAAUAUAAUCAAAUACACUUUCUGAGACAUUUUUAUGUCUGUAAAUUAGAGCAUAUUAAAAUAAAAUGUAUUAUUUACAUGUGAACUGACCAAUCACAACAAUCGACCAUCAUUUUACCCUGUAAUUACUUUCUUCAGCACACCUAACAUCUAACACGAACGAGUUACUCGGUUUAAACGCAGAAAAUGUGAACCGCCAUGUUUUAUAUAUUAACAAUGGCACAUAUUUUCACUUUCUAAGAACAUAUAUCUGAAUUAUCAGGAGAAAUAAAAGCAAGAAGAAAACUGAAGUGGUUUCCUCUAGCGCAGCUCUAGCGUCUGAGGUAACAAACACGAUCACCAUAGCAACGAACAACGGUCUCCCUCUAUUGGCAACGGUUGUAUUUUUUCAAAACUUUAGUGGCGGUAAUUAAUGACUCGGUGUACAAUAAACUCUUUUUGUCACAUAAAUAAAUAAAUAAAUAAAUAAAUAAAAAUAUACAUUAAUAAUUAAAUAUUAAUACCAAAACAAACAUUUCAUGGGUGCAUCACAAAUACAGUACCAAACUGGAAAAGUAACUGUACAUCUGUUAAUGAAUAACAGCAAAUCUGCUUAUUCAACAAACAGUUAAAACACAUGAAAAUCACCACAUUUGUACUUGGGAAGAUGUAGAACAUGAAUCAGGUGGAGUUUGAAGAAAACAAGUUGAUUUCAUAUUUUUAUGAAUUUUUAAAAUAUGUCUGUAUAGCAAAAUAAAUAGUACUGGUCAUGAAUUUGACAUAAUUAUUAAAGAAGUAAGUCGUUAAAACACAUGAAAAUCGCCACAUUGGUACUUGGGAAGAUGUAGAACAUGAAUCAGGUGGAGUUUGAAGAAAACAAGUUGAUUUCAUAUUUUUAUGAAUUUUUAAAAUAUGUCUGUAUAGCAAAAUAAAUAGUACUGGUCAUGAAUUUGACAUAAUUAUUAAAGAAGUAAGUCGUUAAAACACAUGAAAAUCGCCACAUUGGUACUUGGGAAGAUGUAGAACAUGAAUCAGGUGGAGUUUGAAGAAAACAAGUUGAUUUCAUAUUUUUAUGAAUUUUUAAAAUAUGUCUGUAUAGCAAAAUAAAUAGUACUGGUCAUGAAUUUGACAUAAUUAUUAAAGAAGUAAGUCGUUAAAACACAUGAAAAUCGCCACAUUGGUACUUGGGAAGAUGUAGAACAUGAAUCAGGUGGAGUUUGAAGAAAACAAGUUGAUUUCAUAUUUUUAUGAAUUUUUAAAAUAUGUCUGUAUAGUAAAAUAAACAGUAUUGGUCAUGAAUUUGACAUAAUUAUUAAAGAAUGAACAGUUAAAUCACAUGAAAAUCGCCACAGUCGUACUUGGGAAGAUGAAGAACAUGAAUCUGGUGGAGUUUGAAGAAAACAAGUUGAUUUCAUAUUUUUAUGAAUUUUUAAAAUAUGUCAGUAUACCAAAAUAAACAGUAUUGGUCAUGAAUUUGACAUAAUUAUUAAAGAAGGAAGUCGUUAAAACACAUGAAAAUCGCCACAGUGGUACAUGGGAAGAUGUAGAACAUGAAUCUGGUGGAGUUUGAAGAAAACAAGUUGAUUUCAUAUUUUUAUGAGUUUUUAAAAUGUGUCUGUAUUGCCAAAAAAAAAAAAAAGAAAGAAAGAAAAUGUAUUAUUUCAUAGGGCCCUAAAAAUUAUUUUUUUGUUAAUUUUAAUUUGUUAUUAAAUUGUACAGACCUUAUUCGGCAGAGAAACAAGCGCGCCGCCAUCUUUAUGAAAUUGUCUUGAACUUCCGUUUUUGCGGUAGCUCUGUACAUUUCUAUGGCAUCACUGCUGAAGAAUAAUUAGCUGGUGAAGUGAAUUUACUUGUUGUAGAGUUAAAGUUAUCGUGAGCAUUGUAAUGUCUAAAGCAGAUGUCUUAACAAAUGUCAGUAGACCAGGAAGAUUUUAAAAUCAGCAGUUUAUUCAUAAAUACGUAAGACCGCUGUAGAGAUACAAACCGGAAGAAGUCAAAAGACAACAAGCGCAUGGAGUCUUAAAAAAAUAAAACCGAGU